UGGGGAAUAUUGGACAAUGGGGGCAACCCUGAUCCAGCAAUGCCGCGUGUGUGAAGAAGGCCUGCGGGUUGUAAAGCACUUUUGGCAGGGAUGAAAAGCACUGGAUUAAUAACCCAGUGUGUUGACCUAACCUGCAGAAGAAGCACCGGCUAACUCUGUGCCAGCAGCCGCGGUAAUACAGGGGGUGCGAGCGUUAAUCGGAAUUACUGGGCGUAAAGCGUGCGCAGGCGGCGACAUAAGACAGAUGUGAAAUCCCCGGGCUCAACCUGGGAACUGCGUUUGUGACUGUGUUGCUAGAGUGUAGCAGAGGGGGGUGGAAUUCCACGUGUAGCAGUGAAAUGCGUAGAGAUGUGGAGGAACACCGAUGGCGAAGGCAGCCCCCUGGGUUAACACUGACGCUCAUGCACGAAAGCGUGGGGAACAAACAGGAUUAGAUACCCAAGUAGUCCCUGAGCGGGCUGGCAAGGCGCAU
rnacentral:rRNA from 1 species